rnacentral:rRNA from 1 species
GAAGGGGGCUAGCGUUGCUCGGAAUCACUGGGCGUAAAGCGCACGUAGGCGGCUUUUUAAGUCAGGGGUGAAAUCCUGGAGCUCAACUCCAGAACUGCCCUUGAUACUGAGAAGCUUGAGUCCGGGAGAGGUGAGUGGAACUGCGAGUGUAGAGGUGAAAUUUGUAGAUAUUCGCAAGAACACCAGUGGCGAAGGCGGCUCACUGGCCCGGUACUGACGCUGAGGUGUGAAAGCGUGGGGAGCAAACAGGAUUAGAUACCCUGGUAGUCCACGCCGUAAACGAUGGAUGCUAGCCGUUGGCAGGCUUGCCUGUCAGUGGCGCAGCUAACGCAUUAAGCAUCCCGCCUGGGGAGUACGGUCGCAAGAUUA